AACUUUUGGCAAUGGAUCUCUUGGCUCUCGCAUCAAUGAAGAAUACAGUGAAUUGUGAUAUGUAAUGCGAAUUGCAGAUCUACAUUGAAUCAUCAAACCUUUGAGCACAUAUUGUGCUCAGGUGUUCUGAGGAGCAUGCCUGUUUGAGUGUUAGUAAAUUCUCAACCCCCCUCGAUUUGCUUUGAGGGGGAGCUUGGAUAGUGGGGGCUGCUGGAGACCUGCACUCAUGUUCAGGACUUGGGCUCUUCUAAAAUGCAUUGGCUUGUGAUUGACCUUUGAAUUUGCAUGACAAGGCUCUCGGCAUGAUAAUAAUCACUGUCUUCUGAAGCACAUGAAUGAGGGUCUCACACCUCCAAUACAUCAAUUCAGCCUCUAGAGGGCCGAGUCUUCCUUCUUUGCAUUUGAUCUCAAAUCAGGACUACCCACUGAACUUAAGCAUAUCAAUAAGCGGAGGCU
rnacentral:misc_RNA from 1 species